CACGAAAGGAAAACAGCAACGGAAUCGCCGCUCGAGAAAGAAAGAGAACAAUCACACGACCACCGGCACCGCCUCAACCGUGCCUCCCGUGCCCGCACUGCCGACCGCGUCCCUCUAUACCUUUGUGUGUGCCCUCACUUCCUACCGCGCCCACUUUAGCUUCGAAGGCCUCAAGUGCCGUUGGUCGUGGUAGUGGGGGCACCUGUGUGGUGCUUCGCUGAGUCGCUGCCCUCGCCAUGGCGAACACAUGGGAAACGAUGAAGGGGGUCAAGCUUAGUGAGCCGACCCUCGCGUUCCUCCGCGACAACAUGAAGUUCACGACAAUGGCUCCUGUCCAGGCCCGCACCAUUCCACUCUUCCUCACCAACUACGACGUAGUUGUGGAGGCCAUCACCGGCAGCGGCAAGACGCUCGCAUACCUUAUUCCGUGCCUGGAGAUGCUGCUGCGCCCACGGUGCCGCGAGGUAGCAAAGGAGUACAAGAACGCUGUCUUCGCCGUUCUCGUGCUGCCAUCGAGGGAGUUGGCGCAGCAGGUGUUUCAGAUUGUAAAGCGCAUGUUGCACUUUGUGACGAAAGAGUACAAAAACGGCAGCCCGGCGAACGGUCUUCCCGCCUACUCGUACCAGUGCUACAUCGGCGGACGCGACAUCAAGCACGACGUCGAGGAAUUCAGCAAGCAGGGCGGCAACGUGCUAGUCGGCACACCGGGCCGCCUCUACGAACUGCUCGUCUCCUCCAAGCACGCGAACCUCUUUCACUUGAGUCAGUUCGAGCUUCUCAUUCUCGACGAGGCUGAUAAGCUGCUCGAGUUCGGCUUCCGGGCAAAACUGGAUGCGCUGCUGAAGCGGUUGCCGAAGCAGCGCCGCACCGGUCUGUUCAGUGCGACGCAGACAAAAGAGCUGACGGAGCUGGCGCGGGCUGGGAUGCGCAACCCGGUGUCGGUCACUGUCCGCAUCAACUCCCUCAACUCCGCCGACAGCGACACUGCAAAGCCGCAGAUACCCGAGCAGCUCUCUAACUUCUUCGCCUUCACGCGGGCUUCGCAGAAGCUGGACCGCCUCGUUGAGUUCCUGGCGUCGCACAAGGAUGAGAAGGUGCUGGUGUAUGUCAUGACGUGUGCCAGCGUGGAGUGGCUCUACGAGGCGCUCUCGGCGGUACUGUGGAAAGACGAGGCGGACAACGUCUUCGCCCUCCACGGCCAAAUGAAAUUGGAGAAGCGUCAGAAGGUGCACCGGCAAGUGACGAAGCGCUCGAGAUGCGUGCUCGUGUGCACCGACGUGGCGGCACGCGGGUUGGAUAUCCCGGAGGUGGGCGUGGUGGUGCAGUACGACCCGCCGGUGGACCCCAACACGUUCAUCCACCGCAUCGGCCGCACGGCGCGCAUGGGGCGCAGUGGUAAGAGUGUCGUCUUUCUCAUGCCGCAGGAGCUGGAGUACAUCAAUUUCAUGCGGCUGCAGAACGUACCUCUCCAGGCGCUAGACGGGGAGCGGGACAGCGUCGACGCCGCCAAGGAUGCGGUGCGUAACAUGAACGCGCGACGCACGCUGCUCAGCUCCGAGCUGCCGGAUAAGCGGAAGGCGAUUCACCAGGCGCACCGUGAGAAGCAGCUGAGUCGAAGAGAGCGCCGCCAGCAGCUGCAUGAGGCGCAUCAAGCGAUGGUUGAAGGGAAGAGCCAGCGACUUGCGAAACGGAAGGAGGUGCUGGGCGACAUGUGCGCGAGUCCCUCCAUUCUUGCGCUGCGGCGAGAGGAGUGCCGCAAUGAGAAGCUGCUGAACCUCGCCGCCCGGGCCUUCGUGUCGUUCCUGCGGGCCUACAAGGAGCACGAGUGCCGCUACAUCUUUCAACUGCAGCUCAUUGACCUCACCGACCUCACGCACGGCUUCGCGCUUUUCAAGAUCCCCAACUGCGGUGAGAUCAAGCGGAUGCGUGUGCUGCGCAUUCCUUUGCAGGACGAAUUCGCUCCGUUUGUGAGGCAGAUGGCUACUGAGCUGCGGGAGAAGCGGCAACGUGCUUCCGAGGAGCAUUCAGCCGCGGCAGCUCUGGACGGCGGCGGCGAUGACGGCCGAGACGCGAAGAGACACCGCACGGAGCGCAACGAGAAGCUGGAGGCGCUGAAGCUGCUGAAGAUGUCCAAGUCCGAACGCAGCCGCGCCUGGAAGCAGGCAGAGCUGGACGAGCUGCUCAAAGAUAGCUAUUACGUGAAGAUGGAGAGGCGCGGAAAGGUAAACCGGCACGUGGUGGACGAGAAGAUGGGCGUGAAAGCAAUCGAGAACUCUUUCAUGAGUGCGCGAGAGCGAAAGGAGGCGCAGCUUGCCCGCAAGGCGCGCUGAUCAUCGCCGCAACACAUCAGGGACAACACGCCGCAUAGGAAAGGACGAAAAAUCAGAGACAAGGAAAGAUGGAUCGUGCAAGCGCUGCAAUCUUCGAACGCUUCCUCUCUGUGCGUGCCUUUCUCUCUUUCUUCCCACACAUCUCCGCUGGAGUGGCGUUUCUGCUCCCAGCACCUACGCACUGCUGUCGAUGCAUUUGCAGCAGUAUCAUCCGCUACGCUAUCUUGGUUUACCGCGAGAAAAGGAGCCGACAGACCUCAUGAAAGAACGGCAGUCGGCAACGCUCGCGGGACAGUGUUGUCCGUGCCCUGAGCGAGAGAGAGACGCGAAUACAUUAACUCGAUUAAUCAAGUUGGAGGGAACGCAUCGACGGGGUCAACUCUAAUGUGCAGCGAAGCGUAGGUCAGACGCCGCAAGCGCGGGCUUGAGCACGAAAGUACAAACAAACGCAGCAGCACAAGCAGAAGGGAGAAGGAGGGGGG
rnacentral:misc_RNA from 1 species